UGAUCACAAAGGCAGCCAGGUGACCUACAGAGGAGGGAAACUAACUGAAGGCUUCAAUUGAACAGCUUUCAUUCACAUCCAUCACCAUGAAUGACCGGUGGCCUGAAACAAGCCUGCCCUCAUAUAAUGGAUGGGUCCGAUUAGCAGCCUCUGUGUAUAUGCUCGACAGAGGCAUGGCGAGUUGAGCGCUGUGAGGUUGGUGAUUUGUAAGAUCACGUGUGGUGGUACAGUGGGGACGGAUAUUAACAGGCCAUUUGGAGUCCCCGGAGAGCUAUGUUUCCUGCUGACACCAUCACAUCUGUAGGCAAAUGUGUGUGUGUGUCUACUGCUCCCCCAUCUCCAAUGCCACAGCUCUUGCACAAAUAACUUCCUCCUGGACUUAAAAAUGAGCUGUGGGUUGCCAUCGAUCCAGUGUUCCGCCUCCCUCUCCCCUCCCCACUGUUGGCAAGGUCCUCUCUCAAGGCACCCCACUCCUUAUUCCUCGGCUUGCUUACCUGUUACAUAAACUGCCCUAUGUUAUUUUCUUCUGGUGAAAAUGCAAUUUCAUUUCAGUUCAGUUCAGAUAGCGCCAAAAAAGUCUGGAUGAGUAUGAAAGAAAGAAAAACAAAACAUGAUGGGGAGUUUCUCUCAAAAGAAGCUGAAGCUGGGAAAAAAAGGAAAUUCUUUUAUCUGAAAAUAGGCUCUCCGAGGAUGCUCCAGACCGAAGCAUUAUGGGGAGAGGAGAGGAGGAAAGUGCAUUUGAAGUUACUGCUGGAGGAAAAUCAUCCCUAAUUAAGAAAACCCUUGUCUGGUUUCUUUGCUCCGCUGUGCUCUCAUAUGCAUACACCUCCCAAAUUCCUUACAUCCUCUUAUGUAAUUCAGAACUGAUUCCCUAAGAGAAGGCCUUAGAGGGAUUUUCUAAGCACCUCUUGAAAGCAACACGUUAAUGAUAACAACACAGCAUUAUUUGUUUUUUCAUGUCACCUCGGAGGGAUUUCAAGGAGGGUGUUUCUGUUUGUUCCCUGAGCAGCUACUGUGACUUAAUCCAAGCUUUGUUCUAUGCAUAUGUGUGUGUGUGUGUGUGUAUGUGAUGAUUCAGCACUUUCAUGACAAUUUAAAGGAUCAAUAAACUUGUUACAACAGCUAC